UGAAACGUGUUCGGGAGAUCCGGGCACUCCUUGAUGAAAAAUUAGAAAAAAUAAAAUAAUUUUAUACAUUUUAGUUGACGCAUUUUCAUUGGACACGUUACGUUCUCGACGUAGCGGUGCGUCAAACAAAGCGAACCCUUUAUAACAGUUUCAGCUAGUCCUCGCCUCACUAACCGUUUUUAUUUCUCUAAAAGAGGAGACUUUUUUUAGGCUAAUGUUACUCUAAAUCAACGGAACAACCAGUUUAUCAUCAACAUAAGAUGGAUCUGUGGCUUCUUUUAAUAGCGGCGUUAUCCGCGGUCCUCAGUGGCAGCUGGGCGCAGCAAGAGGGGAGCGUAUGCAUCAAAGCCAAUGCUCAGUCCUGUGGGGACUGUAUCCAGGUCGCUGAGUCGUGUGGAUGGUGCGGAGAUGAAGUGAGUUCAAUCAAUUCAU